GGUAUGGUGGUGAGGGGAGCAUCCAAGCAGGAUGCAUGCUGCAGCAGGGUGGUGGGCACAAAGUGCAAUGGUGUGCAGACAUAGGACAUGCAGCCUCAGGGGCCCACAGGACACAGGACCCCCCCCGGUGCAGGCCAGGGAGCAGGCAGUCCCUAUCUACUUAGAAGUUGGACAGCUGUGAUCUAGAAGGUGCCCUGUUAAAACCAAUGGGAUUAAUUGCAAAGGUAAAAUACUCCUUGGCAUGAGAAAGGUCAGCAGAAUCUGGUCCUGAAUAUUUUUAUUAUUAUUUCUAUGCUAAAUACCUUCUGCAUACUGAUGUUGCACUAGAUCACGGGUGGUGCAUGAAAUGAAAAACAUUGCUCUAUGCUUGGGUUUCGCUCUCUGCUUGCUGCCUGCUUUCAGGGUAUGUAAAAAAACCUCCAUCGGUCAGGUCAGAGGCACGCUGGAAUGACUGCUAUUCCCAUACGUCUCGAACUCCAAAAAGACAGGUUUUGUUGUGGUUACUUCCUGCUUCUCUCUUUCUGCAGCCCCCUCAGCCAGCUGGGUGGCUGAGCCAUUGAAAAAGAGAACCUGUUUCCUUUCAUGUGUUAUUGAUUCAUGAACAAAACAAUAACUUUUCUCCUCACGGAUGAGGAAGUCACUUUUUCUUUUAAUGCAUGGUGUGUUAUCAUGGGUCAUCAUCUGCAAGGUUGGAACCUGUAAACUGACCGCCUGGACCUCUGCCACAUGAGCCAACAGGAACUGUUAGCAAUAGUUUGGAAAUCUCAGGUGUGUGUAUAUAGGGCGUGACUUGCUGAUUUUAGGUAGUCAAUGAGACCUAAGUCUGAGCAGAGAGGAUGUGAAUUGCCACAGAAGCAGGAUGGGUGCAUUUUGUUCUGCAAAAGUGUGAGUGAUUCCACAAGGUGCAG